UUAAGUUCAGCGGGUAGUCCCGCCUGAUUUGAGGUCAAGUUUGUAGUAGUUGUCCCUUUCGAGACGGUUGGAAGCAAGUCCCCUAUAUUCGCUAAGCCGAGGCGUAGAUGACUAUCACACCAAGGCCGCAAGGGCUUCGCUAAUGUAUUCAAGGAGAGCGGAUCGGCCAGGGACCCGCAAGCUCCCAAAUCCCAGCCCAA
rnacentral:misc_RNA from 1 species